UACGUAGGGGGCUAGCGUUGUCCGGAUUUAUUGGGCGUAAAGAGCGUGUAGGCGGCCAGGUAGGUCUGCUGUGAAAACUCGAGGCUCGACCUCGAGACGCCGGUGGAAACCAUCAGACUAGAGUCCGGAAGAGGAGAGUGGAAUUCCUGGUGUAGCGGUGAAAUGCGCAGAUAUCAGGAAGAACACCCGUGGCUAAGGCGGCUCUCUAGUACGGUACUGACGCUGAGACGCGAAAGCGUGGGGAGCGAACAGG
rnacentral:rRNA from 1 species